GAUUUCUGGACUGAAGCAUUUAGCCGGCCGCGGUUUCGCGUGUUAGUGCUGGAUGCUCUGUCCAUCCUUCCAAUCGCUAUUGGCUAUUCUUCAUUGAAUGGUCAGUAGUAUUGGAUCUUUUACUUUGAAAAAAUUAGAGUGUUUCAAGCAGGCUUUAUGCUAUGAAUACAUUAGCAUGGAAUAAUAAUUUAGGACUUUGGCCCUAUUUUGUUGGUUUCUAGGACUGAAGUAAUGAUUGAUAGGGAUAGUUGGGGGUGCUCGAAUUCAGCGGCCAGAGGUGAAAUUCUUGGAUUCGCUGAAGACGAACUCAUGCGAAAGCAUU
rnacentral:rRNA from 1 species